rnacentral:misc_RNA from 1 species
AAGUCGUAACAAGGUUUCCGUAGGUGAACCUGCGGAAGGAUCAUUAAUAAAUAAUCCUUAUGGGUUUUAUAUCCAUAUCCACCUCUGUGAACUUGUAAACUGCUUGCUCCCUUUUGGCGCACCAUCAAAACGGUAAGGGAUUUGAGUUGGAGGUUGUUCUCGCUUAACGGCGUUAAGGACUGAAAAUUCGAUUUCUUAACGGGUGCGUCGGAGGGGUAGCCCUUAUUAUAUACCUUUUGUCUUUAAACACUUGACUGAAAUCCUCUUCUUUGUUUAGCCUUAGCGGGCUUGAGCAGGAAGUAAAAAAAAAACAAAUUAUAAAACAACUUUCAACAACGGAUCUCUAGGCUCCCA